GAUGAACGCUGGCGGCGUGCCUAAUACAUGCAAGUCGAGCGAACCACUUCGGUGGUGAGCGGCGAACGGGUGAGUAACACGUAGGUUAUCUGCCCAUCAGACGGGGACAACGAUUGGAAACGAUCGCUAAUACCGGAUAGGACGAAAGUUUAAAGGUGCUUCGGCACCACUGAUGGAUGAGCCUGCGGCGCAUUAGCUAGUUGGGAGGGUAAAGGCCUACCAAGGCGACGAUGCGUGGCCGACCUGAGAGGGUGAACGGCCACACUGGGACUGAGACACGGCCCAGACUCCUACGGGAGGCAGCAGUAGGGAAUCUUCGGCAAUGGGCGAAAGCCUGACCGAGCAACGCCGCGUGAAUGAUGAAGGCCUUCGGGUUGUAAAAUUCUGUUAUAAGGGAAGAAUGGCUCUAGUAGGAAAUGGCUAGAGUGUGACGGUACCUUAUGAGAAAGCCACGGCUAACUACGUGCCAGCAGCCGCCGUAAAAC
rnacentral:rRNA from 1 species